rnacentral:lncRNA from 1 species
UGGGAUGGCAGGCUGCUCAGAGCAGCUUGGCUUGGCCCAGAGGUCUCAGCCAGCUGGGGAGAUGGGUGGGGAAAGGGAAGCUUACCUGUAUGGUUCAGGAGUCUGAUGGAGGUAGAGGAGAGGCAGCAGGAGAAUGGAAGUCCCCUGGGAUGGCAGGCUGCUCAGGGAGGGAAUUGGAAGGAAAAAAGAAAAGGGAGGGAAAUGGGGAAUUCAGGAUCAGGUGUAGUGAAGAACAGGAGAGAUGGCUAGAUGACCACAAAAAUGAAUGGAAAUCUGCAAAUGAUGAGGACAGGAGCAUGUUGUUCUCUGAGAGGCUCCACCCAGCAGCUGACUCAAACAGAUACAGAUACCCACAGCCAAACAGUGGAUGGAGCUUGUGGACUCUUAAGAAGAAUAGGAGGAAGGAUUUCAGGGCCCAAAGGGGAUAGGAACUCCACAAGAAGACUAACAGAGUCAACUCACCUGGACCCUUGGGUCUCUCAGAGUCUGAACCAUCAACCAAAGAACAUAGACAGGCUGCACCUAGGCCUCCCAGAUGUGUAGCAGAUGUGCAGCUUGGUCUUCAUGUGAGUCCUAAAAAAUCUGGAGUAUUAGCUAUCCCAAAAGUUGUUGCUAGUAAGUGAGAUAUGUUCUACUAGCUAAGCUGCCUUGUCUGGCCUCAAAGAGACUUGCAGUGCCAGGGUAGGGGGCAUACACAGGCUCUCCCUCCACUCUGAGAAGAAGGGGAGGGGGAGGGAUUAUGGGAGGAGUUAACUGAAAGGAGGAGCAGUGAACAGGGUGUAAAGUGAGUACGUAAAAAACAGUAAAAUUGAAUAAAAGAUUCCAGUGUAGCUUUCAUCAAUACUCAGCUGGAUCUCCUCAGAAUCUAUGAAGCUGAGAGUCAACCUCUGUGCAGGAUGAAAGUCACCACACAGCCUCUGGAUAAUUUUCAGUUGGCAUAUUGUAUACACUUUUUUAGCUGAUUUCACAUUAUCUAACAACACUCCACAUAGCCCUUGAACAUCAUAAUAUCUAGUUUGCCAGCUAAAUGAUAUAUAGUUCCUAUUGGCCACAGGCUUAUCAUUAUGUGUGAGUUUCUAGAUCAUUCUUUGAGGCCCUAAUGGAUAGUGCCUGAAAACCUAUCACCCACUUCUGGCAUAAUAUUCACAGCAUUUCAUGCAAAGCCUUUGAUCUGUGAUAAAAAAUAAAGUCCAUAGCAGGAUAA